ACGCUGGCGGCGUGCCUAACACAUGCAAGUCGAACAAAGCACUUUCUUUAAAUUCUUCGGAUGAAGAAGACUGUGACUGAGUGGCGGACGGGUGAGUAACGCGUGGGCAACCUGCCCUGUACAGGGGGAUAACAGUUAGAAAUGACUGCUAAUACCGCAUAAGCGCACGAGGACGCAUGUUCUUGUGUGAAAAACUCCGGUGGUACAGGAUGGGCCCGCGUCUGAUUAGGUAGUUGGUGGGGCAGCGGCCUACCAAGCCGACGAUCAGUAGCCGACCUGAGAGGGUGACCGGCCACAUUGGGACUGAGACACGGCCCAAACUCCUACGGGAGGCAGCAGUGGGGAAUAUUGCACAAUGGGGGAAACCCUGAUGCAGCGACGCCGCGUGAAGGAAGAAGUAUUUCGGUAUGUAAACUUCUAUCAGCAGGGAAGAAGAUGACGGUACCUGACUAAGAAGCACCGGCUAAAUACGUGCCAGCAGCCGCGGUAAUACGUAUGGUGCAAGCGUUAUCCGGAUUUACUGGGUGUAAAGGGAGCGUAGACGGAGAGGCAAGUCUGAAGUGAAAGCCCGGGGCUCAACCCCGGGACUGCUUUGGAAACUGCAGUUCUAGAGUGCCGGAGAGGUAAGCGGAAUUCCUAGUGUAGCGGUGAAAUGCGUAGAUAUUAGGAGGAACACCAGUGGCGAAGGCGGCUUACUGGACGGUGACUGACGUUGAGGCUCGAAA
rnacentral:rRNA from 1 species